GCCGGGGUGGCGUAAUGGCAGCCGCGCACGGCUUAGGACCGUGUGCCGAAAGGCGUGCGGGUUCGAGUCCCGCCCCCGGCA
rnacentral:tRNA from 1 species